rnacentral:rRNA from 1 species
UACGUAGGGUGCGAGCGUUAAUCGGAAUUACUGGGCGUAAAGAGUGUGUAGGCGGUGCUCCCAGUCUGUUGUGAAAUCUCCCGGCUUAACUGGGAGGGUGCAGCGGAAACUAGAGUGCUAGAGGGUGGGAGAGGUAAGCGGAAUUCUGGUGUAGCGGUGAAAUGCGUAGAUAUCAGGAGGAACACCUGUGGUGUAGACAGCUUACUGGACCACUUCUGACGCUGAGACACGAAAGCGUGGGUAGCAAACAGG